rnacentral:rRNA from 1 species
UACGAGGGGGGCAAGCGUUGUUCGGAAUUAUUGGGCGUAAAGGGUGCGUAGGCGGUCUGACAAGUCUGAUGUGAAAUCUCACAGCUUAACUGUGAAACUGCAUUGGAUACUAUCCGGCUCGAGGAAUGGAGGGGAGACUGGAAUACUUGGUGUAGCAGUGAAAUGCGUAGAUAUCGUGAGGAAGACCAGUGGCGAAGGCGAAUCUCUGGACAGAUCCUGACGCUGAGGCACGAAGGCUAGGGGAGCAAACGGG